GCCUGGGAAUUACGAGCAAAGCUUAAAACCCAAAGGACUUGACGGUACCCCACAUCCCCCUAGAGGAGCCUGUCCUAUAAUCGAUACCCCCCGCUUAACCUCACCAUUUUUAGUUUAUCAGCCUGUAUACUUCCGUCGUCAGCUUACCGCGUGAGCGCCAUAAGUAAGCUUAAUGUUCACCCACCAACACGUCAGGUCAAAGUGCAGCAAAUAAAAUGGGAAGAGAUGGGCUACACUUUCUAACUUAGAAAACACGAAAGACUACAUGAAACCCAGUCAGAAGGCGGAUUUAGCAGUAAGAAGAGUAUAGUAGUCAUCCUCUUA
rnacentral:rRNA from 1 species